rnacentral:lncRNA from 1 species
UCAUUCUUAUCCAGAGCAUGAACAGAAACAACUCACCAAAACUCUGGAUGUCAUAUCAAACAUAUAGAAGGUGUAGUGGGAUCUCAGUCAGAAUGUGAUUCAUCCAUUUCUGAAUGACCACCUGACAAAAGUCUCCCACGUCUGGGAGCUCCAUCCACCCACGUCUAGGUGAAGUCAUAGGGGGCCGGCAGAGCAUCGCAGGCUCUAAGCACAUACCCUUUACCAUUUCUGGCAAAGGUCCAGAAUAUCCCAUAGAGCGGGCAGUAAGCACAUACCCUUUACCAUUUCUGGCAAAGGUCUAGACAAUCCCACACACCAGAGUACAAGAGGGCAGUUUUAACAAUAAGUAGCAUAUAUCGGAAGCACACGCGGAACAACAAAAAGUACAUGUGCCUUUUCAAGACAAUAUGAUGCAAGGAACAAAUCUCUCACAAAUGUAUUCGUAUUAGGAAUGAAAUGGAAGCAAGAAUAUACAGGGAAUCCAAGCAAUCAUAUUUAGCUCAAUUCAAAUAAGAAGGUUAGAAGAAUUCAAUAUCCAAAGGAAUGAAACAGAAUACGCGAAAUCGACCAAAGCUCUAUUUCUGACAGAAUUCCAAUGGAACAUAGAACAAAUACUUCAGAUUAUCAAUUAUGCUCCAAUACCCUUAAUAAAGCUGUCAUUGAAAGGUAUAUCAACAUAUUUUCUGUUGAAACAAGUUUCGUACGAAUCAGAGUUUCCAACAAGGAGUUACCUUUGAUUUGGUAACCCAAGGUCAAAACACAAUUACUGUUUUGCAGAAUACAUAGGGUCGGAUUCAACAAAUACUAGGGUAGGCAUUUGGAUUCUAAAAUUCUCAAACUAUAUGUCAAAAGAAAGAUUUCAAGUCUAGUUUCAAAUAAAAUCAGUUUGGUACAAAUCAGAAUUUCCAACAGGGAGUUAUAGGCAUUUCAGUAUCUAAAGGUCAUAAAUCUUAAUCCCUGAUUUGCAGCGAUCAUAGACUCAUUUGCAACAGACGUUUGGGUAAGUAUUCGGUAUUCAAAAUCUUCAAAAUUUGUGUCAAAAGAAAGAUAUAAGAGUCUAAUUUCAAACAAACAAGUUAAUGUUCAAAUCUGCAUUUCGUACUAAAAAUUAUAGCUGGAGCCGUAUAUAGGGGUCAGUUUACCGAAAAAUUUCAGAAUCGAUGGUUCUAUGCCCAAGGAGAGAACAUAUCGGUUUCUAAAUAUAAAUCCUUCAGUUUAUUUUGAAUCAACAUAAAAACAGAGACUAAAAAUUCUGUAGGAUGGGGUUAGAACACUUGCCUUUGAGAAUUUUGACCCGAAGUGAAAAAGAUUAAAGCAAGAACCCUAAAAGCCCCAAUUUUUUUUUCUUCUUCUUCUUCUUCUUUUUCUUCUUCUUCUUCUUUCUUUCUUUCCCUGAUCACCCACGAGCUGCCUUCUCUGCUUCCUUAAGAACGAAGGCAGAGAGGCUUAAAUGAUGGAAUUUGUCAUUUUGU